rfam:Acidomonas methanolica NBRC 104435 DNA, contig: Amme_006.
CGGGGCGUGGCGCAGCCUGGUAGCGCGCUUGUUUUGGGUACAAGAGGCCCCCGGUUCGAAUCCGGGCGCCCCGA